GAUGAAGAACGCAGCGAAAUGCGAUAAGUAGUGUGAAUUGCAGAAUUCAGUGAAUCAUCGAAUCUUUGAACGCACAUUGCGCCCCCUGGUAUUCCGGGGGGCAUGCCUUUUCGAGCGUCAUUUCAACCCUCAAGCUCUGCUUGGUAUUGGGCCUUCGCCGGGUGACCGGCGGGCCUUAAAGUCAGUGGCGGCGCCGUUGGGUCCUGAACGUAGUAACAUACCUCUCGUUACAGGGUCCCCGCGUGCUUCUGCCAUUAAACCCCAAACUUUCUAUGGUUGACCUCGGAUCAGGUAGGGAUACCCGCUGAACUUAAGCAUAUCAAUAAGCGGAGGA
rnacentral:misc_RNA from 1 species